AGAGAGAGAGAGAGAGAUAAAACCUUGACCCGACAGUCGAUCCGGCACCCGUCUCAUAUGGUGCUUCAACUUCUGAAAGUAGUCAGCAAAGUUCCGCACCAAGGAAGGACUUGUGCCGUUUUGUAAAACUCGGUUGGGCUCAUUGACACAGACACAGACAGUCUUGCUAAAAACUCUCAUUGACAUCUAAAAAUGGCGAAUGAGCAGCCGUCGUCGCGUCCAUGGCUACUCGAAUUAGUUCCCUUCAUAGUGGUUCUCCUUAUAGCUGCUCAUGUUUUCGCUUUGGUCUAUUGGAUAUACAGAUUAGCUACUGAGAAACAACCCCAGAGGAGAAAAGCACACUGAUGAGGAUGAACAAUAUGAUUUGUAGAACAUUGGUAAGUUUGCUGUAUAUUCCAGAAUGCUGGAUUGAUGUUGUGAUUGAUCUUACUUUACCCUUGUCCCCGUGGUGGUAUAGACUUGUAUUGGCUUCUCAGUUGUUUUUAGAGUCAGGGAAUUGUGUCAUAUCUGCACCAUAUUCCAAUGUUGUAAAGCAUUAAUGUUUGUAUAAUUGCAGUUGAACUAAAGAAAGAUAUUGGAAACGAUAUGUAUACAAGCUCUGCAUAAUAUAUAGAUUAUUUCUGAUA